rnacentral:tRNA from 1 species
GGUGAGGUGGCUGAGUGGUUGAAAGCAGAGCUUUGCUAAAGCUCCGUGCCCCAAAAGGGCACCGGGGGUUCGAAUCCCCCCCUCACCGCCA